CUUCACGAAAGCCUUCGACGAUACAGCUCCUCCCUGUUCCUUCUGGCAGCAUGAACAGCUGAUUCGCUCUACCGUUGCGGUAGUCAAAGGGCAGGAUACGAUUCUUAAACAGUCUCAUGAAAAGAGCCAAAGGGCAUUUGGAUGAGACUGUUCCUGAGGGCACCUUUCUCCGGUGGUUCAGUAAGGACCUGUUAAACAGGCUACUGUGUCCUGCAACGGUUGCUGGUAGAGGCAGUGCAUUUCCCAAGCCAAUUGCUAAGUUUCAAAAAUCACCAGGCCUCUUCUAUACUCUACUACUGGCCUAAUUCGGCGCCCUCUGAUUCACGCGUCCGUCUUUUCCCCCCGGCCAGCACUUGGCAGAAUGCCUGGAGCGUGGAAGAAUUCACUCCAGUUGUUUCUGCAGGCUGUAAACGUGUAAUUAAUGGUAUAGCUAAAGGAUUUUUUUUUGGUUUAAAAAAAGGUUCUUUCCUGUAUUUGUAUGUCUGUAAAUACAUUCCAUAGUUUUCUAAGAUAUAACUUCAGAAUAUCAUGUACUUUAUUUUAAAUUGCCUGUAUGUUAUCAGUCGACAUCUAGUGCACAUGAACUUAUAAACUCCAAGCCUGGGUGAUUUGAAAUAAAUGAUAAAGCUUUAAAA